UGCCAGACUCCUACGGGAGGCAGCAGUGGGGGAUAUUGCACAAUGGGGGGAACCCUGAUGCAGCGACGCCGCGUGGGUGAAGGAGUAUUUCGGUAUGUAAAGCCCUAUCGGCAGGGAAGAAGCAAGACGGUACCUGACUAAGAAGCCCCGGCUAACUACGUGCCAGCAGCCGCGGUAAUACGUAGGGGGCGAGCGUUAUCCGGAUUUACUGGGUGUAAAGGGGGCGCAGACGGCGAUGCAAGCCAGGAGUGAAAGCCCGGGGCCCAACCCCGGGACUGCUCUUGGAACUGCGUGGCUAGAGUGCAGGAGGGGCAGGCGGAAUUCCUGGUGUAGCGGUGAAAUGCGUAGAUAUCAGGAGGAACACCGGUGGCGAAGGCGGCCUGCUGGACUGCGACUGACGUUGAGGCCCGAAAGCGUGUGGCGCAAACAGGAUUAGAUACCCUGGUA
rnacentral:rRNA from 1 species